AUACGGAGGGGACUAGCGUUGUUCGGAAUUACUGGGCGUAAAGAGUUCGUAGGCGGACUGAUAAGUAAGAGGUGAAAUCCCAGGGCUCAACCCUGGAACUGCCUUUUAAACUGUCAGUCUAGAGACCGGAAGAGGUUAGGGGAAUACCUAGUGUAGAGGUGAAAUUCGUAGAUAUUAGGUGGAACACCAGUGGCGAAGGCGCCUAACUGGUCCGGUACUGACGCUGAGGAACGAAAGCGUGGGGAGCAAACAGGAUUAGAAACCCGAGUAGUCC
rnacentral:rRNA from 1 species